AGGACGAACGCUGGCGGCGUGCUUAACACAUGCAAGUCGAGCGAGGCCCCUUCCUUCGGGAGGGGAGCCCUAGCGGCGAACGGGUGAGUAACACGUGGGCAAUCUGCCCCUAGCACUGGGAUAACCCCGGGAAACCGGGGCUAAUACCGGAUAUGACCUCCGAGGGCAUCCUCUGGAGGUGGAAAGGAUUCUGGCUAGGGAUGAGCCCGCGGCCUAUCAGCUAGUUGGUGGGGUAAUGGCCCACCAAGGCGACGACGGGUA
rnacentral:rRNA from 1 species